UACGUAGGGUCCGAGCGUUGUCCGGAAUUAUUGGGCGUAAAGGGCUCGUAGGCGGUUCGUCACGUCGGGAGUGAAAACUCGGGGCUUAACCCCGAGCCUGCUUCCGAUACGGGUGGACUAGAGGUAGGUAGGGGAGAUCGGAAUUCCUGGUGUAGCGGUGAAAUGCGCAGAUAUCAGGAGGAACACCGGUGGCGAAGGCGGAUCUCUGGGCCGUAACUGACGCUGAGGAGCGAAAGCAUGGGGAGCGAACAGG
rnacentral:rRNA from 1 species